rnacentral:rRNA from 1 species
AGCAGCCGCGGUAAUUCCAGCUCCAAUAGCGUAUAUUAAAGUUGUUGCAGUUAAAAAGCUCGUAGUUGAAUUUCGGGAUCAAUAUGUUGGUCGUGCCUUGGUACGUACUGGCAUUAUCGAUUCCUACCUUCUGAAGAACCUCGAUGUCAUUAAUUUGGUGUCUUGGGGAAUCAGGACUGUUACUUUGAAAAAUUAGAGUGUUUAAAGCAGGCUCGCGCUUGAAUACAUUAGCAUGGAAUAAUGAAAUAGGACGUUUGAUUCUAUUUUGUUGGUUUCUAGGAUCGACGUAAUGAUUAAUAGGGAUAGUUGGGGGCAUUAGUAUUCAAUUGUCAGAGGUGAAAUUCUUGGAUUUAUUGAAGACUAACUACUGCGAAAGCAUUUGCCAAGGAUGUUUUCAUUAAUCAAGAACGAAAGUUAGGGGAUCGAAGACGAUCAGAUACCGUCGUAGUCUUAACCAUAAACUAUGCCGACUAGGGAUCGGAUGAUGUUAAUUUUUAAUGUACUCAUUCGACGUCCG